GGGUUGUGAGGUUAAGCGACUAAGCGUACACGGUGGAUGCCCAGGCAGUCAGAGGCGAUGAAGGGCGUGCUAAUCUGCGAUAAGCGUCGGUAAGGUGAUAUGAACCGCAAUACCCGACGAUACCCGAAUGGGGAAACCCAGUGCAAUCCGUUGCACUAUCAUGUCAUGAAUACAUAGUGGCAUGAGGCGAACCGGGGGAACUGAAACAUCUAAGUACCCCGAGGAAAAGAAAUCAACCGA
rnacentral:rRNA from 1 species